GUCCUUUAGGAACGCAGUGAAUUUCCCCAGCAGUAAUCUCCUUUUGUCUGUAUUACUUUCCUUCUUAUGGACAUAGAUCUCACCUGCCUCUCCCUUUCUGAUUUUUUCUAGUUCCAGUCAAUGACGAAGCAGAGAAACGUGCAGAAAUCCACAACUGCAAGUCCUUUAAGACAAUGACUGGCGACUGCACAUGAGCUAUGAUGUAACUGCACUGUAAUUCCACUAAGAAAAAAGCCUUUUUAUCUCUGGCAAAGGGAUCAGCUUCCCCAAUGAAAUUCCCAUCUGAUCGGUUGUUUUGAAGAGUUUGAAGGCACGUGGGAGAAAGCACGCAACAUUACUGUGAAUAUGGUUUGGCCUUAAUUAGCUGAGGAAAGAUAACUUGGAACAUUGAGAUCUAGCAGGGGCUUCUGGUGUUGACAGCAAUUAACAUGAAAAACAAAUCAGCAGAAUCUGGGACUAUUUAAACCCAUGUCUCGUUCCGUUAAUGUAUUAAAAUCUCUUUAAUGUGA